rnacentral:lncRNA from 1 species
UGAUCGGUAAUGAUAUGGUUUGACCAGUGGCGUCUGUUCCCAAUUUAUGUUUUUCAUUGCUUGGAAUCAGUUACAGCAGUUGUUUCUAAUUGUUCUCACUAGUUUAAAUAAAGCACUGAUGGUUAUUUAUUUUUCUGUUCUAUCAGGUGCUGCAAUUGUUUUGAGCUUAAUUAAUUUAUUCCAUUUCUCUCCACUGGUUUCAUCAUAUUUUCAGGUGGACUUUUGUUUAUGCUUCGGACCAGUCUUAUAUUUUGGCGGUGUUUAAGGGCUUUUUUUUUCUAAUGGAGCAAGCUAUGUGUUGAUCACCCGUUUGGACGUUUGGUUUGCAUGGUUUGAGAUACUUUGAUUUGGGCUUUUGUUUCCAAGAGAGGUUGAGUUCUUGUGUUUGAUGUUUUUACUUUAUGGAGGUGCGAAAAGAUUAUGGGUCCACUAUUUAUUAUUUUGAUACGUUUGUAGCUAAUA